rnacentral:lncRNA from 1 species
UGGAAGACCCGAAUGAGGAUCUUUCUUAUUUCUAUGUAUUUUGAACUUUGGAAUCUUGUCGAAAAUGGAUUUUCGAAGUCUUCUCUUCCAAUGAUCGAUUGGAAUGAAUCGGAGAAGAAGGCUUUUGCUCUUAAUGCAAAGGCUAUGAAUGCCCUAUUUUGUGCGCUUGAUAAAAAUGAGUUCAACUGUGUUUCGGUUUGUGAAACCGCAUUUGAUAUUUG